AUUGAACGCUGGCGGCAGGCCUAACACAUGCAAGUCGAGCGGAUGAAGGGAGCUUGCUCCUGGAUUCAGCGGCGGACGGGUGAGUAAUGCCUAGGAAUCUGCCUGGUAGUGGGGGAUAACGUCCGGAAACGGGCGCUAAUACCGCAUACGUCCUGAGGGAGAAAGUGGGGGAUCUUCGGACCUCACGCUAUCAGAUGAGCCUAGGUCGGAUUAGCUAGUUGGUGGGGUAAAGGCCUACCAAGGCGACGAUCCGUAACUGGUCUGAGAGGAUGAUCAGUCACACUGGAACUGAGACACGGUCCAGACUCCUACGGGAGGCAGCAGUGGGGAAUAUUGGACAAUGGGCGAAAGCCUGACCCAGCCAUGCCGCGUGUGUGAAGAAGGUCUUCGGAUUGUAAAGCACUUUAAGUUGGGAGGAAGGGCAGUAAGUUAAUACCUUGCUGUUUGGACGUUACCAACAGAAUAAGCACCGGCUAACUUCGU
rnacentral:rRNA from 1 species